GGCCUUCCUGCAUGACCACGGCCGCCACGUCGGCGCUCCAGGCCGGGUCGCAGGCUUGCUCGAUGCGCUCCAGCACCACGCUGUCCCACUGCUUCUUGGCCAGCGUGAACUGGCGGUUGGGCUCCAGCUCGAUGGUGUGGAGAACCCAGCAACUUUUCACUGAGCAAGGAACUGAUCACACUAAAGUGACUAGGGCUAGUCAGGACAAGAGUGCCACCCAAAGGAGGACUCAUUGCCUGGAACACAGCACAGGUGACACAGUGCAGAGACUCCGAGGGAAGGGCAGGGAGAAACCCACAAGGAUGAUGGACUAGAUUGCCAAAUAGAAGAUUGCAGGGGCUGAAAGUUGGAGCAGACAAAAUUUAGAAAGUUUCAUGAAGGUCAAAAGUAGGGUGGACAGAAAUGAAAGGUUGAAGGCCAUCAAAUCUCAGCAAGGGACCAGUCCGCCAAGGAAUUGCGCUUCUAAUUUAUGAAUCUGAAGUGAUUCACUAUUUAGUCAAAUCAAUGCAGAUAUAGAGACUGAGAAAACAGCUAUUGCUGGAGAAGUAAAUUUAGAAAAAUGUUAUUUGGAUUAAAGUAAAGGCGACAUAGAAACGGGCAAGGUGGAUCUGAGUCAUAAUAAUGGAAGAGCUAAUAGAACCUGCUACAAAAGUGGACAAGCUAACAGCGUACCUGGAAGAGUUACAGUAACCGUGAGGCCUGAUUAUAAAUAAGUAGCUGCGUCCUGGAGCUGUCUUACAAUGUCUGGCCAUCAGCUGUUGAAAGUACUUGCUGGGGCUCAAGGAGGAACAAAACUACUACUGCCCCGGCCAACCUGAGGCCUGAGCAUUGGAGACAUUCAGCCCAACCAGAAUCCGGAACUUGGAUCAAAUUCAUUCCUAAGUGUCAUUCUUGUAGCAGGGUCCUCAUUGCAUGCCUUAGACCUGGGAAAGCAGGGGCCCUGUGCCUUAGGGAGCCCUCGCGUUGGUCAGCCUGUUCUAAAUCUCCCGACAGCGCCUGGGCCCAGCUGGGCUCAGCAGUGCUGUCAGGGAGGGGUUCCUGAGCCUGGCUGCGACCUGCUGUGCUCUUCUCGCCUCCGGGGCACUCUGCAUGACCCUCUGCCACAGCAUAGGCAGGGACAGAGUGUCACUCUGGACUCACAGGGCAGACUCCAGUAAGGCAAAUAAAGGGACAGUGGAUGUGAGGGUCUGGGGAUAGGAAAGCUGUAGAAAGAUCCGUUUUGGCCUGACUCCACCGGGAAAAUGGACUUUCAGGUGGAUGGGAGGGAACACUUUUUCUUCCGUGGCAGAUGUUGGUCCCUUCCUGACCUAGUGUUCUGAGGGCUGUCAUGGUCACUGAUAGGCUUUAAAAGAAAACCCAAGAGCUCAUCCCAAGUAGCUGUGAACUUUGGGCCUGGAGGGGAAUUCCUCUCUCUUGAAAAAACUCUAUUAAAGAUUCCACUCUAGCACUUACGGUAACAGUCUUUGGAAAGAAUCCAGUAUCGAUCACGACACUCCAGGGCCAAGUUCCAGGGAGAUAUUCACUGAUGAAGACAGAAGUUCACUCCUUUGAAGUCUGUUAUCUUCUGACAAAAACAUUUCCUGGUUACGCUCUGGGUAACCUAGUGUUUUGUUAAGGACAGUCCAACCACAACUGUGCCCUUGAGAAACCUCGCCCCCACCUUGAGAAACCUUGCUAACAGGUGAUAAUGGUCCAUUUCAGCUAAAUAUCUUCUGGCUCAUGACUGAAUUUCUAUUUUUUCUUUUAGUAAUUACACUUGCAAUUUAAGGAUGCUUAUUUAAAUAUAAAACUGCCUAAAAAGUUUAUUGCUGUACAAUAUAUCUGUCUUCUCUCGAUCAUGAUAAGAUCUCUCACAGGUUUUAAUUACUCAUUAAGUAUCCCUC